rnacentral:lncRNA from 1 species
ACCUACGUGAAUAUGGUUACUGUAUAAUUCAUCCUUUUGACCUCUGUGUUUAGAAUGACUCAGGGUUAAACUGUCAACCCUGAUUAGAUCAUCCGAAUCGUGCUCAACUCAAACAGUCCUGUGACUCCUCACAAGGACUACCCUGGCUAAGGUUUUGCUAAAUUGAAACACGACUAUACACAGCUCCUAAACUGGAGUGGUCAAUCCCAUCUUGACACAUGCACCGACAAGUCAAGUACUUGACUACACCCAGCAGCCUUUCGUCACUGAAUUAAAAAUUCAGGUAGUCCAGUGCCUAAGUGCAGUGAGUUGCUUGCAAGUCAC